rnacentral:rRNA from 1 species
CCUACGGGAGGCAGCAGUGGGGAAUAUUGCACAAUGGGGGGAACCCUGAUGCAGCGACGCCGCGUGAGUGAAGAAGUAUUUCGGUAUGUAAAGCCCUAUCAGCAGGGAAGAAACUGACGGUACUUGACUAAGAAGCCCCGGCUAACUACGUGCCAGCAGCCGCGGUUAUACGCAGGGGGCAAGCGUUAUUCGGAUUUACCGGGUGUAAAGGGAGCGUAGGCGGUUAUGCAAGUCUGUAGUGAAAGCCUAAGGCUCAACCAUGGGACUGCUUUGGAAACUGUAAGCCUGGAGUGCAGGAGAGGUAGGCGGAAUUCCUGGUGUAGCGAUGAAAUGCGUAGAUAUUAGGAGGAACACCAGUGGCGAAGGCGGCUUACUGGACUGUAACUGACGUUGAGGCUCGAAGGCGUGGGGAGCAAACAGGAUUAGAUACCCCUGUAGUC